rnacentral:rRNA from 1 species
UGAGCAAUCUGCCCUUCUCUUCGGAAUAAGCGUUGGAAACGACGUCUAAUGCCGAAUAUGACCUCCUUUCGCAUGAUCGGAGGUGGAAAGCUCCGGCGGAGAAGGAUGAGCUCGCGGCCUAUCAGCUAGUUGGUGUGGGUAAUGGCCCACCAAGGCGACGACGGGUAGCCGGCCUGAGAGGGUGACCGGCCACACUGGGACUGAGACACGGCCCAGACUCCUACGGGAGCGG